rnacentral:pre_miRNA from 12 species
GUGAAAAAUCUAAUCUCUCUCUCUCUCUCUUUUUUUUGGUCCGAUUAUCAAAUAAACAUCGUUCAUUUAUUGGGCGAAAAAAAAGCGAGAGAGAGAGAGAGAGAGAGAGAG